rnacentral:misc_RNA from 1 species
CCUUGAGAAGCAAGCACUGAUAUGUGAGGGAAUGGUUUCUUCAGUGCUGAAAUAAAAUGGAUACCACCUAAUGCAGAAACUGGAUAGACCUUAACAAUUUUAGAACCAGCAUCAUAAGCAGAUAGUAUUUCUGUUGGUGUCAUUGCACCGGGUAUGUACAGAAUUUCACCAUCCCGGGUGACAUCCAUAAUACCCAUCACCAUCGCAGGACUCAUAAGAAAUUUGGCUCCUGC